rnacentral:lncRNA from 1 species
AGGAUUAAAAGUGUUGUGGUCAGGGUUGUGGUUAAGAGAAAAAAAGGUUAGGGGGAGUGAUCAUGUGGUCAGUGGUUAAGAGAAAAAAGGUUAGGGGGAGUGAUCAUGUGGUCAGAGGCUUCGCUGAUAGCAGAUAGGUGGGUGGUGUGGUCAGAUCUUGGUUGUGAGAAGUAGGAUUAUGGUCAGAGUUGGUGUGGUCAAGAUUAAAAGUGUUGUGAUCAUGGUUGUGGUUGAGAGAAAAAACGAUUAGGAUGUUUGAGACUUCGUGGAUAGUAGAUUGGUGGGUGGUGUGACCAGGAUUUUGAUUUUGAGAACUGAGGUUAUGGUCAAAGUUGGUGUGUUCAGAGUUAUAGGUGUUGUGAUCAAGGUUUUCAUUGUGAAAAGAAGGGUUAAAAUAAAAAGGCCAAAAACGCGUUUUCGUUUCUUCUUCAUCUCCUCCAACGUCUCGAGCUCUUCCUCCGUUGUAUCU